UAGCUCAGUGGGUUGAGCGUGGUGCUGAUAACACCGAGAUCAUGGGUUUGAUCCCUGU
rnacentral:tRNA from 1 species